rnacentral:lncRNA from 1 species
UCCGCGUGAACACCGAGUGUUCUAAGGUCCCAACAGGAGGUGCUGGAAGGGGAGGCAAGACAUUCACGUGACAAGCAGCGGUGGAGCAGGCCUGGAACGCAGGUGAGAACGGUGCCCUUCCCCCAGUCCGGGCGGGCGUUCGGCUCCGGGACGCCUGCCGGGGUCCCCGGGCUGGAGGGAGGACCCCA